GCAGAAGGGAGGUCUGUCGCUUCAUGCCGGGCGCAUGAAGAGGAAAGUCCGGGCAACACAGAGCGCCAUACUUGCCAACGACAAGCCGGCGGCGACGUCGGGGUGAAUGUGACAGAAAACUACCGCCGGAGGGUCACUGAUCUUACGGUAAGGGUGAAAAGGCGGGGUAAGAGCCCACCGGGUGCCGUGGCGACACGGCAUGCCGCACAUCCUAUGGGUUGCAAGGCUAAAUACACCGGCAGCUAAGGGCUGCUCGUCCAUUGCCGGGGGGUAGGCUGCUCGGCGCUUCGGCGCCGGAGCCGUCUGGCGACAGACGGUCAAGAUAAAUGACAGACAGCACGACUCCUACCGAGAAGUGCCACAUAACCCGGCUUACAUCCCCUCUGCUUUC
rnacentral:RNase_P_RNA from 1 species